CCUACGGGAGGCAGCAGUGGGGAAUAUUGCGCAAUGGGCGAAAGCCUGACGCAGCGACGCCGCGUGAGGGAUGAAGGUCUUCGGAUCGUAAACCUCUGUCAGCAGGGAAGAACGGUCACUGUGCUAAUCAGCAGUGAAUUGACGGUACCUGCAAAGGAAGCACCGGCUAACUCCGUGCCAGCCGCCGCGGUAAUACGGAGGGUGCGAGCGUUAAUCGGAAUUACUGGGCGUAAAGCGCUCGUAGGCGGUAUGUCAAGUCAAGGGUGAAAUCCCCGAGCUCAACGUGGGAACUGCCUUUGAAACUGGCAAACUGGAGUGUGUGAGAGGAUAGUGGAAUUCGAGGUGUAGGAGUGAAAUGCGUAGAUAUCUGGAAGAACAUCAGUGGCGAAGGCGACUAUCUGGCACAUAACUGACGCUGAGGAGCGAAAGCGUGGGUAGCAAACAGGAUUAGAUACCCGAGUAGUC
rnacentral:rRNA from 1 species